rnacentral:ncRNA from 2 species
CUAGGGGGGCUGACUGAUGGUCCCCAAGCCGAAAGGCGAGGGGUGAAAAGGGAACACGGUGAGAUCUUCGGAUCGAGGCCGUGGCUGCCCCCGCAACUGUAAGCGGCGAGCAAAAUCCGAAAAUGCCACUGGCCGGCAAGGCUGGGAAGGCAGGAUGGCGCAAGGACCCGCGAGCCAGGAGACCUGCCAUCGCACGAGUUGACCG